UAGGGAAUCUUCCGCAAUGGACGCAAGUCUGACGGAGCAACGCCGCGUGAGUGAAGAAGGAUUUCGGUUCGUAAAACUCUGUUGUUAGAGAAGAACAGCGCAUAGAGUAACUGUUAUGCGUGUGACGGUAUCUAACCAGAAAGCCACGGCUAACUACGUGCCAGCAGCCGCGGUAAUACGUAGGUGGCAAGCGUUGUCCGGAUUUAUUGGGCGUAAAGCGAGCGCAGGCGGUCAAUUAAGUCUGAUGUGAAAGCCCCCGGCUCAACCGGGGAGGGUCAGUGGAAACUGGUGGACUUGAGUGCAGAAGAGGAGGGUGGAAUUCCAUGUGUAGCGGUGAAAUGCGUAGAUAUAUGGAGGAACACCAGUGGCGAAGGCGACUCUCUGGUCUGUAACUGACGCUGAGGCUCGAAAGCGUGGGUAGCAAACAGG
rnacentral:rRNA from 1 species